rnacentral:misc_RNA from 1 species
CCAAUAGCGUAUAUUAAAGUUGUUGCAGUUAAAAAGCUCGUAGUUGAAUUUCGGGAUCAAUAUGCUGGUCGUGCCUCGGUACGUACUGGCAUUAUUGAUUUCUCCUUUCUGAAGAACCUUGAUGUCAUUAAUUUGGUGUCUUGGGGAAUCAGGACCGUUACUUUGAAAAAAUUAGAGUGUUUAAAGCAGGCUCACGCUUGAAUACAUUAGCAUGGAAUAAUGAAAUAGGACGUUUGAUUCUAUUUUGUUGGUUUCUAGGAUCGACGUAAUGAUUAAUAGGGAUAGUUGGGGGCAUUAGUAUUCAAUUGUCAGAGGUGAAAUUCUUGGAUUUAUUGAAGACUAACUACUGCGAAAGCAUUUGCCAAGGAUGUUUUCAUUAAUCAAGAACGAAAGUUAGGGGAUCGAAGACGAUCAGAUACCGUCGUAGUCUUAACCAUAAACUAUGCCGACUAGGGAUCGGAUGAUGUUAAUUUUUUAAUGACUCAUUCGGCGCCUUACG